UACAGAGGUCUCAAGCGUUGUUCGGAUUCAUUGGGCGUAAAGGGUGCGUAGGCGGCGCGGUAAGUCGGGUGUGAAAUCUCGGAGCUUAACUCCGAAACUGCAUUCGAUACUGCCGUGCUUGAGGACUGGAGAGGAGACUGGAAUUUACGGUGUAGCGGUGGAAUGCGCAGAUAUCAGGAAGAACACCAACGGCGAAGGCAGCUCGCUAGGACGGUACUGACGCUGAGACGCGAAAGCGUGGGGAGCGAACAGG
rnacentral:rRNA from 1 species